GGAAGAGGAGGAAGCCCUGGAGGGGCUGGAGGUGCUUGACGUUUUCCUACGCUUCUCAGGGCUGCACCUUUUUCG
rnacentral:pre_miRNA from 12 species